rnacentral:misc_RNA from 1 species
GAUGAAGAACGUAGCGAAAUGCGAAAAGUAGUGUGAAUUGCAGAAUUCAGUGAAUCAUCGAAUCUUUGAACGCACAUUGCGCCCCCUGGUAUUCCGGGGGGCAUGCCUGUUCGAGCGUCAUUACAACCCUCAAGCUCUGCUUGGUAUUGGGCCCCGCCAGUUCUGGCGGGCCCUAAAGUCAGUGGCGGUGCCUUCCGGCUCCGAGCGUAGUAAUUCUUCUCGCUCUGGAGACCCGGUUGUGUGCUUGCCAACAACCCCCAAUUUUUUAAGGUUGACCUCGGAUCAGGUAGGGAUACCCGCUGAACUUAAGCAUAUCAAUAAGCGGAGGA